AUGCUUCUACCGUUCUUCAACGAUAUUGUAGGACUUAUCGGAGCGGUUGGAUUUUGGCCUCUGACAGUGUAUUUUCCGGUGGAAAUGUACAUUGUCCAAAUGAGAAUACCAAAAUGGAGCACAAAAUGGAUUUGUCUACACAUGCUUAGUGCGGCUUGUCUUGUGAUUUCUUUAGCUGCUGCAGCUGGUUCUGUUGCUGGUAUUGUUGCUGAUCUUGGACUUUUCAAGCCAUUCCAUGCUAUGUACUAG